rnacentral:lncRNA from 1 species
GUUCAAUUUUAGGGAAAAAAUUAGAACUGAAUUUUAAUUUAUCUUUUUUUUUGUAAGCUUAUGAUAGGCCACUUCUGUCCAAUUGCUAAAAAAAUUAAGGUUUUAUAAUUAAAAAUAAAUAAAUCUUUAAAAGCAACUAUUAGACAGUUUAAGUAGUAAACAGCACAAUGAGAUCUGUGCAAUGCAUCAAAGCUUCCUCUGUGUCACUCGUGUACCCCUUUGUUUUUCAGGUUUUUCUAUAGUUUGUAAAAGACUCUAGAACAAUCAGAGUGACUGAUUUAAAGCACUUCAAAGCAAUGCUGUGGUGGACUACAACGCUGGGACACUAUAAUGGACUAUAAUGGAAUGAAUGAAAAGGAAUGAGAGGGAGACCCCAGCACAAAUUCAAGUUCAGAAAAAUACAUAUAACCACAAAAUGGGUGACAGUGGUGACAUACAGGGACCAAGAUUUCCUCUCAUGUAUUCUGAACAACAUGAAGCAUUAUUCGCUAAAGCCGUAUGUGGCCAGUAGAGUCCUACAGGAUAUUUGGAUUCCUUCCAUACUUACAUCACUUCUCGAACAAGAUACUUGAACAUCUGAGCUGUGGAAGGCGAAAAAGUCCCAUGAGAAGUGAGUACACCUUAAUAUCUUCUAUUUUCUGUCCAGGUCCCUCAUAUUAGUAACUAGUGUUGGUAUGUCAGCUAGUAUCUGUCUGUCUGAAGUUGUGUACCUGCUAGCAAAGUGAAUAAAUUACAAAGUAGAAGUUUUCA